rnacentral:rRNA from 1 species
GACGAACGCUGGAGGUGUGCUUAACACAUGCAAGUCGAACGGAAAGGCCCUGCUUUUGUGGGGUGCUCGAGUGGCGAACGGGUGAGUAACACGUGAGUAACCUGCCCUUGACUUUGGGAUAACUUCAGGAAACUGGGGCUAAUACCGGAUAGGAGCUCCUGCUGCAUGGUGGGGGUUGGAAAGUUUCGGCGGUUGGGGAUGGACUCGCGGCUUAUCAGCUUGUUGGUGGGGUAGUGGCUUACCAAGGCUUUGACGGGUAGCCGGCCUGAGAGGGUGACCGGCCACAUUGGGACUGAGGUACGGCCCAGACUCCUACGGGAGCCAGCAGUGGGGAAUAUUGCACAAUGGGCGGAAGCCUGAUGCAGCAACGCCGCGUGCGGGAUGACGGCCUUCGGGUUGUAAACCGCUUUCGCCUGUGACGAAGCGUGAGUGACGGUAAUGGGUAAAGAAGCACCGGCUAACUACGUG